rnacentral:lncRNA from 1 species
GUUUCCAAAUACACGAUUUAUAAGCCCAGAGAUCUUUUAGAUCACUAGGCUGUAAUUUAAUGCACAUAAAAGGAAUGGUUUAAUAGCUAUCUUUGUCACCUCUAAAAUGUAGACACUAUAGUCUCUUCCGUUUUAUUUUCCACCAAAAGCAUAUAUUUAAAUGUUAAUUUAUUUUCUUUUCAUUUGUAGGACCCAACCACGUCACUCUCUGCUAAUUUCUUCUCAUUGCUGAGGCAAAAGACCAAAAUUUUACUUAUUUGUUAAAUUUAAAACACCUCUAUAAUACUAAUUGUGUAUUAGGCACUGUUCUAAGAACUUUACAAAUCUUAGCUCAUUAAACUCUAUAAGGUAGGUGUAGUCAUGCAUUGCUCAAUGAUGGGGAUACAUUCUGAGAAAAGCACUGUUAGGGGAUUUUGUCAUUGUUUGAACAUCAUAGAUUGUACUUAUACAAACCUAGAUGGUGUAGCCUACUACACACCUAGGCUAUAUGAUACUAAUCUUAUGGGACCACUGUAGUAUAUGUCAUCCAUCAUUGACUGAAAUGUUGUCAUAUGGCACGUGUCUGCACUAUUAUCAUCACCCUUAUUUUUCAGAUGAGGAAACUGAGGCACAGGAAGGUUAAGUAACUGUGUGCUGUAACACAGCUAGCAAGCCUUCAUCAUCUGGCUCCUGCCUAUGUCUCAGACCUCAUCUCGUUUCUCCCUAUUGCUCUCUCUUUUUGGUUAUCUUUGUGUCUCUGUACAAGUAUAUUGAGCCUGCAAUACAUUCUUCCCUGCUAUUCACUUGUUUGGUUCCCAGUGGUGGUAAUACUAUAUUAUGAAUGUAUUUGAAAACGGCAGAAUUCUAACAGCCACAAUUCCCUUGACAGUGGGAUUUGAUGAUUCUUAAUCAAAAGGCCUAAGGUGGUUUUUAUUUACCUCUCUGACAUCUGUGCUUCCCUGAGUCUUCCGCAUCUCUGUUGGGAGGACAACUGUUCACCCCUAUUUUAGGCUUCCCUAUUUGUAUAGGGAGGACCACCAUACAUACUUGUCUUCUCUUUUCCCUGUCUCUUUUGGCAGGACUACUAUACAGCCAUGCGUUAAGGCCUAACACCUUGGAGUUUUCCUUGACUCCUCUCUGGCUCCCAUACCCCACAUCCCAUCUCUCAGUGGAUCCUGUCAGUUCUACCUUCAUAACCCGUCCUGAACCUAACUACCUCUCUCCUCCACCUCUACUGGAUUAAUCCUAGCCACUAUCAGCUCUUGCCUGGACCACUGCAAGACCUCCUCUUGGUCUUGCUUCUUCUUUUGCCCCUUCCAGUAUACUCUCCACAGGCAGCCAGAGUGAUCAGGUCACUCCUCUGUGCUCACCUCCAAUGGCUUUUAGUAACAUCCAGAACACAAUCCAGUGUCUAACCAUGGCUUAUGAAGUCCUUCAUGAUCUUGCCCACAUCUAUCUCUUCAUCUUCAUUUCAAUCAUGUUUCCCUUGCUUGCUGCUUUCAGGUCCACUGGAACCCUUCCUUCUGCUCUAGGAGCACUCCAAGAGACCUCUCACCUCGGACACUAUGUUCACUUGCUAUUCCCUUCUGGAACCCUCUUUCCUCAGAUUUGUCCGUGGAUGCUCCUUCUAGUCUUCAUGUCUCUGCUCAAACUUUAUAUCCUCAGAGAGGCCUUUUCUGUCCCAUUGUUCUUUCUCCCCUAACCCUGUUUAUUUUCCUUCAUAGUACCUGACCUUUUUUUUUUUUUUACUACAUAUUUAUUUGCUGUUCUCUGUCUAGAUGUACAGGGUUUCAGCACCUGGAAAAAUACCUGGCACACAUUAAGAGUUUAUUAAAUAUUUGAAAUAAAUGGAUGGAUGAAUUAUUGAAGAAUUGAAAAUGAAUACGGGAGAAGAGACAAUUAGAUACUUUCAAAAAGAUUUCUGCAGAGAGAAGCAAGGGAGCUAGAAGGCAGUCUAUCUAGGGAUGAAUCACUCCCCUUGAGAACAAAAGGAAAUUUAACUACUCAGGGAACAAAGUGAGUCCAAGGUGAGGGAGCCCUCCCUGCCCCUCUUUGUUUUAUCUGCCUGUUGCCUGUCUGUGGGGCCCCCAUCCUGCUGGUGGGAGGCUUAGGGAUGAGUACCUGAUUUGCCACUACCAAGCAGAACUGCUGUGCUUUCCUCUCUUCCUCUGUGCUUGGGGUCUCACUGGGAGUGGGCCAACAGAAGUUUGGUGCACAGGAUGGUAUUCUCUCCCAGGAUGGUUUGGAACGCACUGAGAGCCUAAUUCAUCCACUUGGGAGUGAGGUUCUUAAGGAGAAACUCAGUGCUUUGGCUGAAUAGCAGAGCCUUUUUCAGAGAAACUCUCCAAGGAGUUUCUACACAGGCUUCCUAGGGUAAAGCAGUUAUUUGUAGCAGUUUUAGGACUCUUUAUAUUCCAGUUUCAUCUCUUCUCAUUGAUUUUGCCAUUUGUGGCUUAUAAUGGAAAUGAAAAUAGCUGGUGCAGAUGGAAGAGUUACAAGAUGCUUCUCUGUAUCUUGUAGCUGGGGCACUCUUGGGGAAUCAGCUGAAUGAGUAUUUGCUUCCUAAACUCUUCUCUGGGUUUCACCAAGUUGGGGUCACUUGCAAGGUGAUCAUCAAUUCUGUGGAUUGGUUCAUAUUGUGCGGUGUGAAAACAGAUGAAAGAAUCUGGACCAUCCCCCAACAUAAAAGCUUAGACGAGAACAAAAAUAUAUAAGUGCUGACAAUUUAUACUAAUUUUAAGAAUCCACUUUGCUAAAACAGGAUGAAAAAAUACAUUACAUUGGAAUAACUUCCCUAUACCCAGUUAUUAGGGGACAAUGAAAUGUUCAUUUUACUGUAGCUUGAUUAUGAUGCUGACGUCAUAAUCAAGUCAAGAUAUAUAUGGUAGCAUCUCAUGUAUAUAGAGGUCAGCUUGGAACACAGCUUUGAUCUGGAAAAGUAAGCAUAAAAGGUCUGUGAUGAUAUGAAGCAGGAGACUCAUGUCCCUGCAUGAGAGCCAGGCCCCUUAGUACUUCCUAUUCCUGAUUCCCAUUCCCAUUUAGUAUUCUAGUCCCAACAUUUUCAGUUAUCUUCUUUUCCAAGCCCAGAGCAGCUAAGAAGUAGAAAAUUGGAAGAGGGCAAAGAAGGAUGCAAGUCAAAGUCACACUGAUGGGAGACAGGAAUGACAGCUGACAGCAAGGGAGGUGACAGCAAAGCUUAAGCAGCAAUGCAGGACUGCCAUAGACUUUGUCUGCAAGUCUAGGACAGGCAGAGUGGAAGUCUGUAUAUGGAAGAGGUAUUUUUCAAAGGAAGGGAUGGCUUUCUUUCCUUUUUUCUGAAGAUGGUGCCUCUUCCUGCAUUCAGGGUCCCAGUCCCAUCAGUCAAUUUUGAAUCCUUACUCCAUAAAUCCGUUCUCUUUUCCUUACUCACGUAUUUAACCUUUUCUACUCAACUUAUGAAUAGUUUCACAACUCUUCCAUCUUAAGCAACACUCUCCAACUUUCCAUCCUGAAUCUGUUGCCCUUUCUCCCCACAACACCUCAUUCCUGUCAAGUUUUUGCAAGAGAGGUCCAUACUUCCUGUAUACACUCUCUCUCUUCCUUUGACUUGUCUCCCCUUGCAUCCUUGGUUCUGCCCUAGUAUUCCUCAGAAGUGCCCUCACUUUCAUACUCUGGCCCUAAUCACAAAUAAUCACCUAAUGCCAAACUCGGUGUGUAUUUUAAUGCUCAUUUUAGUUAACCUCUCUUUGGCAUCUUAACCAUUCCUUCUUUUCAGUCUACCUCUAUUUGUUAACACUCAUGACCACUCACCUUGGAAACCGUCUCUCCCGGGUCAAAAAUAGAAAAGAUCAUCUUUGUUCUAAACUGUUUUCUCCACCUGUAUUUCCUUGUCUUGAUGAAUGCCAGCACCAUCUGCUCUGUCACCUGAGACUGAGCCUCAACUCCCUCUACUGACAAGCUAGUCAAGCACAUUCUCCAUGUCUAUAAUUAGGUUUAUGAUUUCCUUUUAUUUCUUUCAUAGAGUUUCUGUUCCCCUGCUUAGAUUGCCCAUCUGUUCUUUAUAUAUUGUCUUCCUAUUUUUUCUCUUGGAGGCCUUUACUUAUUAAUCAUAGUCACUUUCAAUUCCCUGUAUGAUAAUUCCAACAUUUAUGUCACAGCUGAGUCUGGUUCUGAUGAUGGUUUUUUCUCUUCAGACGGUGUUUUUUCUUGCCUUUUGUCAUACCUUGCAAUUUUUUGUUGAAAGUUGGGUAUGUUAUAUUGGGUUAUAGGAACUGAGAGAAAUAGUUGUUUAGUGGGAGGAUUUAUGUUUAUCAGGCUAGGAGUUAGGCUGUGUUUAAUGUUUAUUUUAGCUGUAGGUACCACAGGCUUCAGUUUCCUCUAGUCCUUGUUUGUUCUCUCUUUUGGCUUUGAGGCUUCUCUAUGUACUGCUCCUUGGAGAGAGUCUACAUCUUGUACUUCUUUUAGCUGUAAUCCCCCCUUAUUACACUGGAGUUGGUUGGUGCAGUAGGAGGAUGUGGAGGAGGGGGUGUGUUCUAUGAUCUAACAGGGAGCCUAUGUCUUCAGGGUGUGGCCUUCACAAGGUUUCUGUCCGUCCUCCAGUGCUAUAGCCCUUUCCCCCUUGCCCCAUCUUCCAUUCCUGGGGGCAGAUUUCCCAGUCUAUUUCCUUGAAGCCAAGUCAUCCCCCCACCACCAUGUUUAUGUGUGGCAGGAAGGCUGGAGGACACUGGCGUAGGGAGGAAUUCCUUUCCCCCAGGCCCACUUGUGAAAAAGCAGUGAAGAAGAAAAGGCACUCUCAUUAAGUACUAAAUCAGAGCAGUCAGAGGGAGACCAAUGAGAACUGUAAAUCCGGGAGAAUUUUCACCAAGCUAAAAAUUAAGAACAAAGAAGACCUGGGGAGAGGCAUUUCCUGGGGUGCCAUGCCGUGCUUUCUACUCUGAGGGCGACGGAGGGAGGUUGUCAGAACCAAGGGUCAGGAACAGGGGUUGGGGAGACCCAGGUACAAAAGCAGUCUUUCAAUGGAGG